rnacentral:rRNA from 1 species
GACGAACGCUGGCGGCGUGCUUAACACAUGCAAGUCGGGCGGAAAGGCCCUUUCGGGGGUACUCGAGCGGCGAACGGGUGAGUAACACGUGAGUAAUCUGCCCCUGGCUUUGGGAUAGCCACCGGAAACGGUGAUUAAUACCGGAUACGACCACUUCUCGCAUGGGAUGGUGGUGGAAAGUUUUUCGGCCAGGGAUGUGCUCGCGGCCUAUCAGCUUGAUGGUGAGGUAAUGGCUCACCAUGGCUUCGACGGGUAGCCGGCCUGAGAGGGUGACCGCUCACGCUGGGACUGAGACACGGCCCAGACUCCUACGGGAGGCAGCAGUGGGGGAUAUUGGACAAUGGGCGGAAGCCUGAUCCAGCAACGCCGCGUGAGGGAUGACGGCCUUCGGGUUGUAAACCUCUUUCAGCAGGGACGAAGCGCAAGUGACGGUACCUGCAGAAGAAGCACCGGCCAACUACGUGCCAGCCGCCGCCGUAA